AUCCUCAAACCCAUGUACACUGAACAAGUGAUCCAUUUAGAAGAUAUAUUCAUUGGUGUCUUGGUUAAUAAACUCAAUAUACAGCCUAUUGAUAAUAGGAAAGGAUUUAAUUUACUUUUUACUGGCAAUAAGAGACUUUGCGACUAUAUACAUACACUUUUGCUACAUCCUGUUAGUACAAGUGCAUUAGUAAGCAUGCAUUUACAAGCUGAUCUCGCCAGAAGGGUGUGUUAAUUCCCCUAUUAAGUUGCAUUGUACCCGAUUAUUAUUUUCUUAUAUUUUAUUACCGUAAACCUCCGACUAUAAGCCCUGGGCUUAUAUUCUUUCAUAAGCGAUUUUUGAUGGGCUUAUAC